ensembl:lncRNA
ACCACAUCUGCUGUGACACAACUCAGAGGUUCAGACAAACAGGAGUGUCAAACAGAAAUCCAGAAAGCCUGAAACUGUGUCAGUAACUGAAAAAUGUCUGAAAUUACAGACACGCACCCGUCCUCUUCAGCCCACAGGAGACAACGUGGCCCUAUCGUCGACCGACACCACCAGAUCUCAUGGAUAAUGAUGCAUCAGUAGACUGUUUACUGUCUAUGAUGCACAAGGAGAAGAUCAGCCGACCUUCUCCCCCACCAGCGGUCUCAAUAGACCAAGUACACAAAGUCCUGAGGAAGAUCAACCCCUGCAAGGCAGCAGGACCAGACAACAUCGUAGGAUGGGCCCUUAAAGCAUUUACUAACGAGCUGGCUGAUGUUCUCACUUCCAUCUUCAACCUCUCCCUCAGCCAGAGCAUCGUUCCCACAUGCUUCAAGACCACAACUAUGAUCCCUCUCCCCAAGAAAAGCCCACCGACCUGCCUAAACAACUACAGAGGAGUUGCACUCACUGCAAAGUGUUUUGAGAGAGUGGUGCUGGCCUACAUCCAGAGCAACGUCCCAGACACUCUGGAUCCCCCAAUAGGUCAACAUCAGAUGCUAUCGCUGCUGCCGUUCACUACUUCCUCUCCCACCUGGAAACUAAUGCCUCCUACAUCAGGGUGGUAUUGGUUGAUUGCAGCUCCACCUUCAAGGCUCUCAUCCCUCACAAACUCAUCCACAAACUGUCUACACCCCACCCUAUGUGACUGGCUACAGGACUUUUUGACUGGCAGGUCAACUACCUUAGACACAGGUAGGAUUCGAACCUGCGUUACCUGGUCUCAAGGCGACUGCUCAUCUCACUGAGCCAAACUGGUCCUCAGGGAAAGAAGCUGAAUCAUGCUUAAAACAGGUGAAAAAGCUGAAAUUCUGCUGAAAGAGCAGAAGAGGCUGAACUUUCUGUGGAAAAGAGUUAAAAAAAAAGUUUAACUGGUAACUGAAAUAGUUGUUGCCAUAGGCAGGAUUCGAACCCAGGCCUCCCGCACUGAGAACGGCUGCUCAGCUCACUGAGCUAAAACAUGGCUCAGCCCGGCAAGCUAAACUGGUGAUCACACUGAUAAUGUGGUCCCAUUCAGCAAAAUGGGCCAAAAAAUGACAUAAAAAGCUUAAUAUCUGAAAAAGUAUAAAAGUUAUGAGCACCAAAAGAUAUAGCAGGCAUUAGCAGAAAGAGCAGAACAGUUUAAAGUUUGAAUGGUGAAAAUCAGAUGAAAACUGAGGGAGUAGUUAACCAGCAAAGGUCUGAGCAACUAGAAUAAGGUAGAAGAAAGAAUAAAGAGAAACAGGAUCACGGCAUUCACACAGUUAAGCUCCUUUGUACAUCCAUCUACAUCGACAUCUGCAUACCACACUUGUCUUCACUUACUUAUUUUUUAUACUUAUUUUUAUCUUAUUUAUCUCGUUCUUUUUAAACUUGACCUAACUUGACAUUUGUGUAUGGACAGCAAAGGAAGAAUUUCAUUGCACAGAGAAAUGCUAUUUCUUCUGUACAUAUGACAAUAAAC